rnacentral:rRNA from 1 species
UACGUAGGGUGCAAGCGUUGUCCGGAAUUAUUGGGCGUAAAGAGCGUGUAGGCGGCCCGAUUUAGUCCGCUGUGAAAGUCCAGGGCUCAACCCUGGAAUGCCGGUGGAUACUGUCGGGCUAGAGUCCGGAAGGGGCGAGUGGAAUUCCUGGUGUAGCGGUGAAAUGCGCAGAUAUCAGGAGGAACACCAAUGGCGAAGGCAGCUCGCUGGGACGUGACUGACGCUGAGACGCGAAAGCGUGGGGAGCAAACAGG